AGCCUCAUGCUACAGUUCCAAAUGAAAACCUCUCUGGUCUUUCCUUUCCUUUCCUUUCCUUUCCUUUCCUUUACAACCUCCUGCAGAAAUACAAUGGCAAGUGGAGCACGAUAGUAUACUGACACCUCGACGCCCGCUGAUGUGUGCUGAGCGUUCUGGUGCAAAAUGGCUGCCAUGCAUCACCCACGUGGGUGGUUGAGAAGCUGAAAAAGAGACAGAUGCCUUAAGGUUGAGGCUACGGAUUGACAGAGACCUGGGGAGAACUGGGGAGAGUGUGAGAGAAUGCAGAAGAGCUGUGUGGAGUUGAGCUGCAGGGGACCUCUGUCCUUACCUCUGAAAGCCCCGCAGCCAUCUCAGGAUGCUGUCCCCAGUGCAGAUGAGAAGGUUUAACUGGGAGCUCAUGUGGAAUGCUCUCAGGAGAUUGUCAUUCUGGGACACAAUGUCUCAGUUAGCAGGAUUCUGGCCGUUUCUCUGCUGGCAGCUGCUGUAUCAUUUCAGCAGGUUGAUUGGACCUGGUCUUGUGUCCAGGUGGCAGACUGCCUCCUCCCCAUGGACGUCCUCUCUCUACCCUCCCUGAUGUGCCAGAUAGCUCUUCUGCGCCUCUGUGGGCACACUGCAGGCAGAGGGAUCAGGCUGCAAAGCCACUGCCUCCUACUUCAGUGGGCAUGUCCCCUGUUCUGCAUCUGCUUUUGUGCCACUCGCUGAACCCCGUGAACUCACGGACUCGUCCCCCGCGUUAGAUGAACUUCCUCUCGAAAGCUUCCUCUGAGCAGUCUUCCCAAGGGACUCCCAGCUCCGAGAUAAAAAAAGAACUUCAAGUGAAAUCAAAUAAAUUAAAUUAAAAAGAGUAAUUAACAUGCCCGUAUAAAGCAAGGUUUUGCUCCCAGACUGAUUAAACUUAUUAAAUAGGUAUUAUCAUUUUCUGUAAACAAGUACUAUGCAUAUCAUCAAUUGAGAGAUUAUGUAAUCUUUACAGUUUUCUCCCCCUUAAGUUAUUUGAGUGUGCUUUUCGAGCCUCCCAAGGUUACCUAAAAGGGCACCGCACCCUCCUGCACUUGGCUAAGAUCUGGACAACUUUGGCAGGAUUUCUAACUGAUGGCUCCAGGUUUUUCAUGCAUUAUUCAUUCAGUGACUGGAAAAGCUGUUUCUUCCAAGAAUUACAGAAUUACACAAUCGCACGUGGUAUGGGAGUGCAUUUCUGUUACUUUACCAAGCUGUGGCGUUUCUUUUUAGCCCAGAAUGUUUUUCAAACGUAU